AUUGAACGCUGGCGGCAGGCCUAACACAUGCAAGUCGAGCGGUUGAAGGGAGCUUGCUCCCUGAUUCAGCGGCGGACGGGUGAGUAAUGCCUAGGAAUCUGCCUAUUAGUGGGGGACAACGUUUCGAAAGGAACGCUAAUACCGCAUACGUCCUACGGGAGAAAGCAGGGGACCUACGGGCCUUGCGCUAAUAGAUGAGCCUAGGUCGGAUUAGCUUGUUGGUGAGGUAAUGGCUCACCAAGGCGACGAUCCGUAACUGGUCUGAGAGGAUGAUCAGUCACACUGGAACUGAGACACGGUCCAGACUCCUACGGGAGGCAGCAGUGGGGAAUAUUGGACAAUGGGCGAAAGCCUGAUCCAGCCAUGCCGCGUGUGUGAAGAAGGUCUUCGGAUUGUAAAGCACUUUAAGUUGGGAGGAAGGGUUGUAGAUUAAUACUCUGCAAUUUUGACGUUACCGACAGAAUAAGCACCGGCUAACUCUGUGCCAGCCGCCGCCGUAAGAC
rnacentral:rRNA from 1 species